rnacentral:rRNA from 1 species
AUACGUAGGUGGCAAGCGUUGUCCGGAAUUAUUGGACGUAAAGCGCGCGCAGGUGGUUCCUUAAGUCUGAUGUGAAAGCCCCCGGCUCAACCGGGGAGGGUCAUUGGAAACUGGGGAACUUGAGUGCAGAAGAGGAUAGUGGAAUUCCAAGUGUAGCGGUGAAAUGCGUAGAGAUUUGGAGGAACACCAGUGGCGAAGGCGACUGUCUGGUCUGUAACGGACACUGAGGCGCGAAAGCGUGGGGAGAGAACAGGAUUAGAUACCCGGGUAGUCCACGCCGUAAACGAUGAGUGCUAAGUGUUGGGGGGUUUCCGCCCCUCAGUGCUGCAGCUAACGCAUUAAGCACUCCGCCUGGGGAGUACGGUCGCAAGACUGAAACUCAAAUGAAUUGACGGGG